AGAACAACAUCGGUAAGGUCUUGUUAUGGAUGAAGCUUGAUUAUGUUGUGAUUGCUGCAGUAUAAGAAAGCCAACUAUUUGCGUUCUUUCUCGGCAUGUUAAUUAUGUUUUAUGACCGCCGGGAAAGAUAAGUACUGGAACAAGCACAUCUAUAAUUCAUAAGCAGUAACGUGACAGGAAUGGCUAUUUCCGUCGGAAUUACGUCACUUUCUCAGAAAAACCCGGUCUUCUGAGAAACUGUCUCGGUCGCUAUAUUUUUUUUUCUUUAACUCAAUGUCUUCAUGGCGUCUCUGCGGGAUCUCUCUGCCAGAGAAAAGCUAAAAAACAGUAAAGCUGAAACAUUGAUUCUCUGAUCAUCAAGACCAAACUGUUACGGCUUCAAGAUCCUAAUGACGAGCAAGGUAGGACUGACGGUUUCUGAACAUGGAAGGUUGGCUGUCAUCAAGCGAAGUGAAGGACGGAUUGAGUUGUUCCGCAGUUCAAGAAAUGUUGAUAAUUCAAGUCCCGCAUAUCAAACAAUUACUGAAGAUCUCAUAAGUCCUUACGAUAUCUGCUUCGCACCAAACAACCACCUUGUUGUAACGGACAUGGGUGAUAACACUUUUAAAGUAUAUAACUUUGAGGGAUCACCUAAAUUGGUUAGCAAAUUCAGCUGCCUGAAAGGAAUCAGAGAUGAACGUACUUGUAUAAAAAAAUGUGAAAACAUAUUGACUUUUAAAGGCCACUCGGUACUAGUACCUCAAAAUAUAGUCGCCGGACCGAUUACUUCAUCGCAACUUUUUGUUGUAUUCGAAAAUCUUAUUUUUGUCAUCACAAUGGACUGGAAUACAGUGGAGAUUCUUGACUUUCAGCAGCUAUCUUCCUCACAAGAUUGGCCCCGUGUUCAGAGGAAAGCGCGUACGGAAUGUGACAAGAAUAGUCUUGUUCACGACCACAGUGAGAAUCAUAAACUUGGAGGACGUAAUCCCUUAGCAAUCACUAAAGCUCAGUUCUGCGCUAUGUUCUACCACGUUACGCAGAGAAGAAGAGGUAACAUAAAUUACAAAUGUCUUGAAAGGUCGAGAUGCCGCGUUGGUAAAAUGUCGAGGCAAGCCAAUCCGAGAUUUGAUUAUGCCGCCUCUGUAGUCAUCUAUGUUCGCUUGACCGACCAAACAGGAAGAUUGAUUUUUCAUGCUAGAUAUGGAAAUUGCUCUGAAGGCAAACGCCGCAACACAACUCAUGCGGAGUACUUUAUGCUGAUGGACGAGGAGUUUAAAGAAGCUGUGCUAUCGCUUCAAGAUCAGAAAGGGGGCAGCGUUACUAUGUUCAUGAACAAACAACCUUGCUAUAGAUCAACUAAACACCAUGACAAUAUGCCUGACCUCACAAAAAAACAAUGCGCACAGGACUUAGUGGAAUUCUAUAACUUGCACUGUUCAUCUUAUGGUGUCAGCUUCACUAUUAAUCUCUGUCAGUUGUACAAAGUUGACUUGGCACCGACGCCGCAGUUUGAGGAAGAUAUCACAAACGGCUUAGAGGGAAUGCGCAAGAUGAUUACUACCGGCAUCGAGUUAAAGGCAAUGACUAAGGAAAGCUGGCAGCAACUUGCUGAAUACGCCUGUGUGGAACUACCUUUUUAUGAAGGAGGAGAGCGACAAAAGCUGGAUAGACACAUCAGAAAAUUUCUCGUCGAUUGCGCGCACAACCCCUCACCAACACAGGACAUUAAACCAAAGAAUAACCGGCACAGGGCCAGAAUCAAACAGAGAAGAAAGAGAUAGACAUUGAAGGUCAUUUAUAAGCUAAGAUAGAAUGAUGGAGAUACAUUUGCUUUUCAGAGAAAAAGCUCAGAUCAAAGUGGAGCUCGUGAACGAACCAGAACCUAGUGGAUUCUUACCUAAACAAGUUUUCCUGAAUGGUCUUAGAGCAAGCGAAUUUACCUGAGAAGUACUUUCAUGAGACUUCUUUUUG
rnacentral:misc_RNA from 1 species